rnacentral:rRNA from 1 species
AUACCUUAAUGUUGGCCUCGGCGGAUCAGCCCGCGCCCCGUAAAACGGGACGGCCCGCCAGAGGACCCAAACUCUAAUGUUUCUUAUUGUAACUUCUGAGUAAAACAAACAAAUAAAUCAAAACUUUCAACAACGGAUCUCUUGGUUCUGGCAUCGAUGAAGAACGCAGCAAAAUGCGAUAAGUAAUGUGAAUUGCAGAAUUCAGUGAAUCAUCGAAUCUUUGAACGCACAUUGCGCCCGCUGGUAUUCCGGCGGGCAUGCCUGUUCGAGCGUCAUUUCAACCCUCAAGCCCCCGGGUUUGGUGUUGGGGAUCGGCUCUGCCUUCUGGCGGUGCCGCCCCCGAAAUACAUUGGCGGUCUCGCUGCAGCCUCCAUUGCGUAGUAGCUAACACCUCGCAACUGGAACGCGGCGCGGCCAGCCGUAAACCCCCAACUUU